rnacentral:pre_miRNA from 1 species
UUACCACGAAUUAUUCCAUAUCUGUACUGCCAUCAGAUAUGGAGGUAUUCUUGGUAUCA